UUUUUUUUUUUUUUCCCAUAAAUUGCAACUGAAACGACACCGUUUCUACUUCGAUCAGUUUGAUGUCGAGUCACCAAAUGAUGUAGAACUGGAGAAGACGCAUUAUCACGCAUCGCUGGUCCUAGGUCCAACCGAUCGGGCUUUCAAAACGGCUCUUUUUAUAUGAUUUUAUUAUAAUUCAGCUCAUGGUAGCCAAAUCUUAUUCAGAAAACACCAGGUUCCUCCAUAAACUAUCAAACAGUUACAUGGAGAGAGAGAGAACACUAACAUGGAAAGAGGAGAGGUUUUGUCUUUUCUCUAAAAAUU
rnacentral:misc_RNA from 1 species